rnacentral:rRNA from 1 species
AACGCGAAGAACCUUACCUGGCCUUGACAUGCAAGUAGUAGAACCAUGAAAGUGGGACGAGGUAGCAAUACCAGCUUGCACAGGUGCUGCAUGGCUGUCGUCAGCUCGUGUCGUGAGAUGUUGGGUUAAGUCCCGCAACGAGCGCAACCCUUGUCCCUAGUUGCCAGCACGUAAUGGUGGGAACUCUAGGGAGACCGCCGGUGACAAACCGGAGGAAGGUGGGGAUGACGUCAAGUCCUCAUGGCCCUUACGGCCAGGGCUACACACGUACUACAAUGGUGGGUACAAAGGGUUGCCAAGCCGCGAGGUGGAGCCAAUCCCAGAAAACCCAUCUCAGUCCGGAUCGGAGUCUGCAACUCGACUCCGUGAAGUCGGAAUCGCUAGUAAUCGCGGAUCAGCAAUGCCGCGGUGAAUACGUUCCCGGGCCUUGUACACACCGACAUA